rnacentral:sRNA from 1 species
AUUUAGAGAAAAUGACUUCUUGAAAUGGGAUAAUCAGCAACAUUACAGUCUUGAAUUUCCUCCAGGCUCUAGGCUAUCUACACACUAAAGAAGAACUGCUGGAAUCAGAGCUUGAUGUUUUGAAGUCCUUGAACUUCCAAAUUAAUCUGCCCACUCCCCUGGCAUAUGUGGAGACGCUCCUAGAGGUUUUAGGAUACAAUGGCUGUUUGGUUCCAGCCAUGAGGCUGCAUGCAACCUGCCUGACACUGCUCGACCUGGUCUAUCUUCUGCAUGAACCCAUAUAUGAGAGCCUGUUGAGGGCUUCAAUUGAGAACUCCACUCCCAGUCAGCUGCAAGGGGAAAAGUUUACUUCAGUGAAGGAAGACUUCAUGCUGUUGGCAGUAGGAAUCAUUGCAGCAAGUGCUUUCAUCCAAAACCAUGAGUGUUGGAGCCAGGUUGUGGGGCAUUUGCAGAGCAUCACUGGUAUUGCCUUGGCAAGCAUUGCUGAGUUCUCUUAUGCAAUCCUGACUCACGGAGUGGGAGCCAACACUCCGGAGAGACAGCAGUCUAUUCCUCCCCACCUGGCAGCCAGAGCUCUGAAGACUGUUGCUUCCUCUAACACAUGAGGGAGGCUGAAUCCACCAAAUAUAAACAGCCAUCCGUCACUGCACUCAUGCCUCCCUCUGUUUACUUUCAUACUAAGGGUACAAAAAUUCCAAGUCUCUUUUGAACUGUAUUUUGUAUGCCAAUUUCAUGCUUAUUUUUCCUUUAUCAGAGAGAGUUAAGGUGGACGAGCAUGCCCUUUUUGUCAUAUCAGCCUGAAAAUGUUAAAAAGCUAGGUGGAGACAGAUUAGUUGUUUCAUUUUUGUUUAACAAGGUAUUUAUACUUUUAGCUUAAUUUCAUUAAGAGGAACAUCAGGCAUUGAGAUCAGUAUUAAUCAGGGGCUCAAAUACAGACUAUCUGGGUGACCUUGACUAAGCAUCAAGGAGGUAGCCUUUAUUUCCCCUUAAAAUUAGUUUAACAUCUCUGUUCCAUUAUUCAGAUCUACACAAACAAGGCUUCCUCAACAGCUAUCUAUUUUUACUAGAGUCUUUUUUUAAAACUAAAACUAACUCUAAAGAAGUUUCAACAGAAUUUCCACAUACCUGCAUUCAUUAGAACUUGAUUCUCCCAGAAUACAAAGUACUCUAUUUUAAAGAAAAACCCAACAGUGCACCCCUGGGCAGUUUUCAGACUGCAGCAAAUCUUUUAUUACAAAUAAUUAAAUCUCUCCAUAAUGUCUCCAACAGUAUCAAACACCAUUUCAUAUCUCUAACACAGAGCAGAGUCGGCAUUCAGUAUAAGAACCAAGUGAAAAGUGUUAAAUUUCAAGCAUCUGAUCACAUCACAUGGUGACCAGGUAAAGCUUAGAUGUCAUUUUCCCACAUUAUCCAACUGUGCAUCUCAAACAUAUCCUCAUCUCAGUAAAGACAAAAGUUUCUAUUUCAUAUUGUUAAGUGCAGGAAGUUGAGAGAGAUAAAAAUCCAGUGAAAACACAUCAAUCUCAAUUCAACUCAGUUAAAAAAAAGAAAAGCAAAUUUAAAUUAGUUUUUUUCAGAGAAGAAAGGGAAAGGAGUCCAUGGGGUUAAGAAUCAAAACUGUGACCAGGGCUGGCAACUAUAGAUGGCAUGUUGUAGCUCUGGAAAGUAUCUGUCACAUGAUAUUUUAAAAUAAAGUGGCUUUUGUGGAUUUUUUCUUUUUUGGUAUUGUAAACAUGUACUGUUUAAUAUUACCCGAAUUUAAUUUAAAACAUGUUUGCAAACAAAACAAAAUUAAAAGCCUUUAAGGCAAACCUCCCCCUAAGGAAAAAAGUCAUUUGUUAUAAAAUUGUGAGGACACCCAAGCAAGACCCCACUUAAGAUUCGUCAGCAUGAACUUGAGAGCUUUUGUCCACUGCUCCUCAGAGUUAAACUGGGUUUUGAUGGAAUAGGAGCCGCCGCUGCCUCCUGUGUCUUCAAUCUUGCCUUUCUCCACAUCCAUCCUGCAGAUGGACAGAGCAAAACUCAUUAGUAACUGAGAUCUGAGUUAAGUCAGUUCGGGGCAGGGACUUGAUCAUGGGACCAUUCACGUCAUUUUAUCUAUUAAAGAACACUUGGUGAGGAAUGAUAGUGUAUUUUGGAUUUGCUUGAAAGCCAAAAAUCAAGAAGACUGUCACAAGAGCCUCAUUGUCAUUGCAGAGUACAGGGACAGGACACACACCCAAAGAGAAGAGAAGCCUGGAGUAGGGGUGAGUGAGGGUUACAGUACUUCUUGCUGUUUUCCUAGGCAUCCCUGAACUUGGCGGGGGAGAAAGGAGGCAGAAGAAAAGAAAUGCUUUGUUUUGGGGUGAUAGAAGCAGCCUUACUCUAGGUAAAAACUAGAGUUUCCAUCCAUCAAUGGGAUCCUACAAAAAUCAAAAGAAGCAUUCCUGUGUAUUUCCAAGGGCUUCAGGGAAAAACCUUCUUGAAACUGGAGAGGAGGCUUGAGCUCUAUGCCAAGAAAACCCCCCAAACCAUCUAAGGCAACAUUCUUCUACUCCAAGGACUAGGUGGUCACAUUCUGUCCUGCUUGCAGUACUGGGUCAGUCUCUGCCCAUCAAUGUCAUGUGAUUCUGUGCCAUUUUUUUGCUUUCCCACCAUUUAUACUGUUUUGCCUCCAUUA